AUUAAAUAUGGAUGUUUGACCCAUUGACCUCGAGCGACGAUGUUAAGAUGCAGAAAAAUCAAUCGCUCAAGCAACUGAGUCUCCCUACCUAACUGUGUAUAUAAACCUUAUCUAGAAAAAGCCAUAAUUACACAAAUCAAAAAAAGUUUUGCAUCAGUCCGGUUCCCAGAACUCCUGAAGAUAGAUGUUGAUUGUGGAUAUUGUGUCACAGACACAGUUCUUUUGACUGUUCAGAGAUGUCACUAAACCUGCCCGAAGACGUAAACAACAAUACAUGAGCAGCGCCUAUUAGACGGAGGGGGUCUGACAGGCAAUCAGUUACAGUCAUUCCACCAGGAAGGAGAAACUAUUGCCCGAGAUGUUACAGCUCAAAGUUGCCAGAAAUUCAUGUUGGCUCUGUGCGAGUCAUAUUCAGCUGAGAAAUAUUCAGCUCAGCACAGGGUGGGUUGAGCAACGCGG